ACUGCUGCUGGGAACCUGCAGCUGUCCACUGCCGUGUAUGCCACUGGUGCCUCUUUCUUUAAGCUUGAAAAGAUCUUCCGGGCAAUGCAGUUGAAGAUGUUUCAAUAUGACUCAUUUCGAAGGCAUGCUCGGAUGUACAUAGAGCCCGCGAUUGUACACAGGUGGAAGACGGCACAGACUGCAAUGUUGGAGCAGCUCAGUCAGCAGCAGAAUGUUGUCCUCGGUGGUGACUUGAGAGCAGACUCACCAGGACAUUGUGCCAAGUUUGGCAGGUACACAAUAAUGGACAUGAGGAGCAACACUGUUAUUGUUUUACAGCUGGUUCAA